rnacentral:rRNA from 1 species
AGGACGAACGCUGGCGGCGUGCCUAACACAUGCAAGUCGAACGGAGAAUUUCAAGAAGUUUACUUUGAGAAAUUUUUAGUGGCGGACGGGUGAGUAACGCGUGGGUAACCUACCCAUAAACCCGGGACAACCCUUGGAAACGAGGGCUAAUACCGGAUAAGCUUAGAUCUUGGCAUCAAGGACUAAGAAAAAGGUGGCCUCUGUAUAUGCUACCGAUUAUGGAUGGACCCGCGUCUGAUUAGCUAGUUGGUGGGGUAAAGCCUACCAAGGCGACGAUCAGUA